rnacentral:tRNA from 1 species
GCCAUAGUUCAGUAUUAGAGCAUUUGCUGGGCAUGCAAGAGAUCCCAGGUUUAAUCCCUGGCAUCUCCA